GAAUUCCUGAAGCAUACGACAAGGCUUUUUUAAAUUCAACCUACAUUAUUAAUACGGGAGAACGAGUCUAGUGACAAUUAUAACAGGCCUUUAUUUGGAAGUUAAAAAAUCACUGGCAGUUCACCCACCUAGGAGACUCUAGGGCCUGAAUUUAAGAGGGUCACCGGUGUUUCGGGAUGAAA
rnacentral:other from 1 species